rnacentral:rRNA from 1 species
UGCCAGACUCCUACGGGAGGCAGCUGUGGGGAAUAUUGCACAAUGGGGGGAACCCUGAUGCAGCGACGCCGCGUGAGCGAUGAAGUAUUUCGGUAUGUAAAGCUCUAUCAGCAGGGAAGAAAAUGACGGUACCUGACUAAGAAGCCCCGGCUAACUACGUGCCAGCAGCCGCGGUAAUACGUAGGGGGCAAGCGUUAUCCGGAUUUACUGGGUGUAAAGGGAGCGUAGACGGCGGUGCAAGCCAGGAGUGAAAGCCCGGGGCCCAACCCCGGGACUGCUCUUGGAACUGCGUGGCUGGAGUGCAGGAGGGGCAGGCGGAAUUCCUGGUGUAGCGGUGAAAUGCGUAGAUAUCAGGAGGAACACCGGUGGCGAAGGCGGCCUGCUGGACUGCAACUGACGUUGAGGCCCGAAAGCGUGGGGAGCAAACAGGAUUAGAUACCCGAGUAC